GAUGCAUUUAUUUAUUUAUUUAUUUAUUUAUUUAUUUAUUUAUUUAUUUAUUUAUUUUGAGACAGAGUCUCGCUAGAGUGCAGUGGCACAAUCUCAGCUCACUGCAACUUCUGCCUUUCAGGUUCAAGUGAUUCUCAUGCCCCAGCCACCUGAGUAGCUGGGAUUAUAGGCAUGUGCCACCACACCCAGCUAAUUUUUGUGUUUUUAGUAGAGAGGGGGUUUUGCCAUGUUGGCCAGGCUGGUCUCAAACUCCUGGCCUCAAGUGAUCUACCCACUUCAGCCUCCCAGAGUGGUGGGAUUAAAGGCAUGAGGCACCAUGCCAAGCCAGAAAGAUGCAUCUUUAUUUUAGGUGAUACCUGGGGAUUUAUUUCUAAGACCCCAGGAAUCCUAUGCCCAUCUCUGGCUUCUUGCUGCUGGGGUCUCUCUGCCCCUCUAGUAGGUUGCCCUGUGAGACAGGAUCCAAUGUGACCUCACACCAGGUCUCUCUUCUGAGUGACCAUGUUUGGUCCACAGGGUACACUCUACCCAGGAAGCCCCAGAAAGGCAGACCAGCUCUUGCAUGCCCCUCUAGGCUGCUCUCAUGGCCCACUCUGGGUGUCGCAGGGAAGGUGAGCAACAGCAAAGCGAGUGCUGGGUGCCAGCAAAACAACCUUCAGGUUCCCAGUUUCUGGAAGAGGCCAGGACCUCCACUUGUCACAUUCCCAUGUCCUUCCCCUCGAGUGACUACAGAUGUCUUACCAGUGUUGAGAGGGAAAUGAUUUGCAUGUGGAAGAAUCAGCAAGGACAAGAACAGGUACUUCGUGCUCUUUGCCUGGGAAAUCAGAGAGUGAAGCUUUUUGCAUUUGGCCCUGAUAACAGUCAACCCUCAAAUAGUAGGGAGUUUGAUCCAGUAGUUGUAAAAUGCUUUCAGAUCACAACAUGCAACCCUGCCUUGACAGAAAGGCACAGUAUCAAUAAGAGAUGGCCAGAAAGGCAAGCAUGAAAAUAGUAUCCCUGAGUUUUUUCCAGUGGCACAUGAUACAACAUUGAAUAAUUGCUGGGUAUAUUUGACAAAUUGAAAAUACAGUUCAUUAGGGAGCUGGGGAACUUAAAAAUCAGGAAAAAUUAUGAGGGGAUUAUAGUGUGCAGCCACCAGAAAAUGGGGCAGCAGGAAUCUGGGCUGAAUUGGUGAUCUGUCUGAGUGGGAGCUGCAGCCACUGAGCAAAACUUUCUUUAGUCAAGGUGACUUAGAGGGAAAUUGUGAUAAGUAGAAUGAAUGAAAAAAAAUGAACAUCCAGAAUAUCUAGAGAAUGCAGUGAAAUCCACCAAGGGCAAUACUAUUUCUACUGCAUGAAUGGUCAAAAAAAAUCUGAACAUGUUGUUCACACAAGAGGCAAUACAAAUAGAAAACAAAUCCUUAGAAAAGGACCCAUCCUCCUUAGUAAUUAUAAGAAGUUAAGACACAAAACUCUGCAAUGCUGUUAAACUGGCAAAUUAUAAUUAUAAAAUCAAAAACUGGCAAGGCUUUUGAGAAAGUUAUAUCCUUAUACUAACAUAAAUUAGUACAGUAUUUCUGGAAAGCAACAUGGCAAAGUGUAAUAAACCGUAAAACAUCACAUCCUUUGAGCUAGUAUAUGUUUGAGACUACAUCCUGGAGAAACAAAGAAAAAUAGAAAAAAAAUCCUUAAAAUCAUUAAAAAAAAUUAAAAACAAACUAUGGUUCAGCAUGGUCACUCAUGCCUGUAAUCCUAGCACUUUGAAAGGCUGAGGGAUCACUUGGGCCCAAGAGUUUGAGACUAGCCUGGGCAACAUGACAAGACCCUGUGUCUAGAAAAAUUUUAUUAAAAAAUUAGCUGGGCAUGGUGGCAUGCAUCUGUAGUUCCAGCUACUCAGGAGGCUGAGGUGGGAAGAUUGCUUGAGCCCAGGAGGUCGAGGCUACAGUGAGCUGAGGGCACCACUGCACUCCAGCCUGGGCAACAGAGCAAGACCUUGUCUCAGAAAGAAGCCCCAAAGUAUGGUAUAAAAUGAAAUAUAAUAUUACUAUUAAGAAUGAUACAUAUUUUGUGAGACAGGGUCUCGCUCUGUCACCCAGACUGGUGUACAGAGGCACAAUCUCGUCUCACUGCAACUCUCGCCUCCCAGGCUCAAGUGAUCCCCCCACCUCAGCCUCCAGUGUAGUUGGGACCACAGGUGCACAUCACCAUGCCCUGAUAAUUUUUAAAUAUUUUUUUGUAGAGAUGGGAUUUUGCUAUGUUGCCCAGGCUGAUCUCGAACUCCUGGGCUCAAGUGAUCUGCCCACCUUGGUCUGGGAUUUGGGUCCCAAGGUUCUGGGAUUACAGGCCUGAGUCAGGUGUCUGGUUAAGAAUGAUAAAUUUGUAUGUUAUAAAAAAAUAGGUUUAUAUAAAAUACAGUAAGUCCUCACUUAACAUCAUUGACAGGUUCUUGGAAACUGUGACUUACCUGAAACCAGUUUAACCACAGGCUAAUUCAUGUAAAUACAGAGCUAAGUUCCUAUGACAUAUUCUAGUCACAAAAACAUCACCAAACUGCUAGAUUAAUACCCAAAACACUUCUAUUAAAAAUGGAAAUAAAUGUGAGCUACACGUACAUUUCAGAAAGAUUAAUAAAAACAAGGAAAGUAAGUUUUUACCCAAUUUUUGGUGAAUCAGUGAGUGACAGCAGUCACGUGGUGGUGGGUAAGUCAAGGAAUGUGUUUUUGCAAUGAGAACAUUGUCAGGAGCCCCUUCUCCCACCAUGCAGUUGAAAAACGAGCAGUAAAGAUGUGGUGGCUCCUCGAGCGCUUUCACACUGCAUGGUUUGUUGUCGUGUAUCUGUAGGAGUUUCCUGUAUUUUACACAUUUUUAUUUUACUGUCAUUUGUAUUCAUUUAUUUCCCAACCCACUUAUUCCACUUCAGGGUGGGAGGUAGCCGGAGCCUAUCCCCAGCAACUCAAGGCACAAGGUGGUGACCAACCCUGGACAGUACGCCAUCCCACCAUAGGGUCUGCACACUCACACACACACACACGGUUGCUUAGAUGUGGACCCUGUUGACACGCCAGUCAACUGAUUGCACAAUGCACCUCUUUGGGAUAUGGGAAGAAACCAAAGUACUCAGAGAAAACCCAUACAGACGUGGGGAGAACUUGCAAACCACACAGACAGUGGCCCCGGCUGGGAAUCAAUUUUUUAAAAUCUUAUCAACAUUAUAAAAAGACCAUGUUGAUCAAAGUGACACUUUUUUGAGGACCUGCUAUAAUGAUAGAUGAAAAAUAGUUGAGCUCAGGCUGGGUGUGGUGGUUUAUGCCUGUAAUCCUAGCACUUUGAGAGGCUGAGGUGGAUGGACUGCCUGAGCUCAGGAGUUCGAGACCAGCCUGGACAACAUGGUGAAAUCCCAUCUCUACUAAAAAAGAUACAAAAAAAUUAGCUGGGUGUGGUGGCAUUCAUCUGUAAUCCCAGUUUACUUGGGAAGCUCAGAAUGAGAAUUCCCAAGUUAAACUGCCUCUGCUUGAGCCCGAGAGGCAGAGGUUGCAGUGAGCCGAGAUCAUGCCUCUGCACUCCAGCCUGGGCAAUAAAGUGAGGCCCUGUCUCAAAAAAAAAAAAAAAGUUGAGCUCAACUUUAUAAAUAUUGACUAUAGGUUUGUUUAAAAAAAAAAAGAAAAAAAGCCCAAGCAACAAUAAAGCUAAAAAGGGAAAAUUUGUUACAUGGCAGGGUGAGAAGUUAAUUUGAUUUUUCUGUUGCUAUGAUGUUUUGUAUUUAUCUCUUAUUACAAAAUUGGUUAAAAACACAACUUUUAUUUUAUUUUUAUUAUACUUUAAGUUCUGGGGUACAUGUGCAGAACGUGCAGGUUUGUUACAUAGGUGUACACAUGCCAUGGUGGUUUGCUGCACCCAUCAACCUGUCAUCUACAUUAGAUGUAUAUUUGCCUUAUUUCCUUCCUUCCUUCCUUCCUUCCUUCCUUCCUUCCUUCCUUCCUUCCUUCCUUCCUUCCUUCCUUCCUCUCUCUCUCUCUCUUUCUUUCUUUCUUUUUUUUUGAGAUGGAGUUUCACUCUUGUUGCCCAGCUGGAGUGCAAUGGCACAAUCUUGUCUCACUGCAACCUCCACCUCCCAGGUUCAAGUGAUUCUCCUGCCUCAUCCUCCCAAGUAACUGGGAUUACAGGUACACACCACCAUGCCCAGCUAAUUUUUUGUAUUUUUAGUAGAGAUAGCGUUUCACCAUGUUGGCCAGGCUGGUCUCAAACUACUGACCUCAGGUGAUCCACCCACCUUGGCAUCCCAAAGUGCUGGGAUUACAGGCGUGAGCCACCGCACCCAGUCACCACAUUCUCUCUAUCCAGUCUAUCAUUGAUGGGCAUUUGGGUUGGUUCCAAGUCUCUGCUAUUGUGAACAGUGCUGCAGUAAACGUGUGUGUGCAUGUAAAAACACAAUUUUAAAGGCUGUGUCAUAUAUUGUCAUUCAUCAAGGACUGAAAAAAGGUAAACCCUUACAUCUUCAUUAUGUGGUUUCUCACAGCUGUGCAGAUCUUAAACAGAAGCCAGAAUAACACACAACUGCAUCUUGGAGCUACAAACAUUUCCUCCUGAUUAUACUUAGAGGAAAAGUGUGAUUUCCAAGAGCUUUGAGUGGAUGUCGGGGAAAAUUAUGUCAGGUUAACUCUCUGGUUGGCUCAUCUGAUGACAGAGCUUUAACUACUUGGAUCUGAUGCUUGGAUUGUUUUGUUUGGUUUGGGUUUUUUUUGGAAGUGAGGGAGGCCAGUAUAGGAUAGAGGAAAGAAGCAAAGCGUUGAGUCCUUUCUGCUAGUAAGUAUUUGCCACCUUCAUCAAGGCAGCGCCACGUUUCCGCAGCCCUAGCUUCCUUCUUCUGGUCUGAUCCUUCUUGCCCCAUAAGCUUGUCAUUCUCUGAUGGUGAUUUUUGCUGUGUUAUCUACCUUUAACAGCAACAGUGAUCUUAAUAAAAUGUAGUCUCACAUUUCCUCCAAGUAGCUAGAUGUUCUUAAGGCUUUAGGCACAGCCUUCAUUGUAUUUAAUAGCGGCCGUCUUUCUUUUUGUCCUUGCACCUGUGUAAGCAGGGCACUAAAUCUCGUAGGUCUCACCCCGAUUGCCUCUUUGCAGCUCCAAAGACACCUGAGUCUCUGUACUUUGACAUAGAUUUUCUGCUUACAUCAGGCAGUUAGGAGUCAAAGGGUGGUGGACCUGGGUCAACACCUCUGCUUUCAUCAACACUGCUUUCAUCAACCAUGUUCCCGAGACCCAGAGUGGGGAGAUUCCCAUGGCCCCCAUUCAGGCACUCACAGAGGCUUCAUGAGCAUGUGAUUCCUGAGCAGAGUUUAAGCCAGAAGCAUUGUGAAAACAACAACCUUGAAAAGAAUGUGUUCUGUAACUUUUUGGUUGGGGGAGCAGCAAGCACACCUCACUGCCAAACAUUCUUCAUGCUUGUCCUUGGCCUGUGGUUGCCAGACAGAGGAAUAUUUGGUCGGAAUCCACUGGGUUCACACCAAUCACCAUGGUGCGGGAGGGUCUGAGUCAGAAAAAAGGACGAGAGGAGGAUGAAGAAAUCAGGACGGAGAGAAACAGCACCUCCCAAGAGGCUCUCCCAGACAUUUCACUGUAACUUCCAGCUCUUUUGGCUCAGAAAUAAAAGCAACAGUGAUGCCCAGGGCUUCUCUCCAUGGCAUGUUCCCAGAGAUGUCCCUCCAGAGCUCAGCACUCAGCCCUCUUGAGGGUCUGGUUAUCGUAGUCUUUAUGCUUCGUUGCUGCAAAGGUGCCUGCCACCUCUUCCCGUGAAACCUCGGAUUCCUGGACUUCAACCAGCAGCUGUUUUUAUUCCCUUAGAGAGAUUGCUUAUUUAAAAAAAAAAGAUGAUAAUGACCCAUAACUACUCAGUUUAGAUGAUGACAGCAGAAAUUAUUCUUUUUUCUCACUUCCCUGAAGUUGACCAGUUUGGGUACUGUUUUUAAUUUUUAUCUUCCUUCAGAGGGACCAACAAAUUUUUUUUUUGGGGGGGGCGGGAUGGAGUCUCACUCUGUCACCCAGGUUGGAGUGCAAUGGUGCCAUCUCAGCUCAGUGCAACCUCUGCCUCCUGGGUUCAAGCGAUUCUCAUGCCUCACCCUCCCAAGUACCUGAGAUUACAGGCACGCACCAUCACACCAGGCUAAUUUUUGUAUUUUUAGUAGAUAUGGGGUUUCACCAUGUUUGCCAGGCUGGUCUUGAACUUCUGACCUCAAGUGAACCUCCCGCCUCAGCCUCCCAAAGUGCUGGGAUUACAGGCGUGAGCCACUGUGCCAGGCCAGGGGACCAACACACUGUGCCAGGCCAGGGGACCAACAGUUUUGAUAUUAGUUUCUCAUUUAUAGGCAGCAAAAUUAAUGAGCAUGGAUAUAGGUACCGCAUUAUAGAAUGUAUGCACAUCUUCCUCUAAUGCGCACACACACAACUUACUGCCCAAGAUAAAAACUGAAAUUCAGUGUGUCCAUAAUACAGCAAACUAUUCACUUUGUUUUCAAUUAUCCCUAAUUCUGAUUUCAAUAGUUGUGUAAAAUGGAGAGAGACAGGUUGUGUUGGGAGUUAUUCUGAAUCAGAAACCAUGAAUGUUUGCUUUUCCCCAUUUCACCUCUGAAAACCUGAGCAGUCUGAGGACCAGGUGAAAAAAAAAAGUCUCAGUUGAGGUCUGGGUCAUCUUUUCCCCUAGAGCCUCUGCUUCCUAGUCACACAGCCUCAACCUUGCAAUGGCUGCUUAGAAAUAAGAAUAAUGGUGUUUGCAGUCAUAUUUAUUGAAAUGUUGUUAUGUGCUAAAUACCUUAUACAGUGGUCCUUCAGCAUCUGUAGGGGGUUGGUUCCAGGAAGCCCCCAUGGACACUAGAAUCCACAGAUGCUCGAGUCCCUUAUAUGAAAUGGCAUAGUAUUUGCACAUCCUCCCGUAUACUUUAAAUCAUCUCUAGAUUACUUAUACUACCCAAAACAAUGUAAAUGCUAUGUAAAUAGUUGUUAUAGUGUAUUGUUUAGGGGAUGAUGACAUGAAAAAAAGGCCUGCACGUAUUUAGUUCAGACAUAACCAUCCAUUUUGCUUCCUCAAAUUUUUUUUUUUUUUUUUUUUUGAGACUGAGUCUCUCCCUAUUGCUCAGGCUGGAGGGCAGUGGCGCGAUCUUGACUCACUGCACCUUCUACCUCUCGGGUUCAAGUGAUUCUCUUGCUUCAGCCUCCAGAAUAGUUGGGAUUAUAGGUUGUGCCACUAUGCCUGGCUACUUUUUGUAAUUUUAGUAGAGACAGGGUUUCGCCAUGUUGGCCAGGCUGGUCUGGAACUUCUGACCUCAAGUGAUCUGCCCACCUUGGCCUCCCAAAGUGGUGGGAUUCCAGAUAUGAGCCACCAUGCCCAGCCUUCUUCCUCAAAUAUUUUCAAUCCACAAUUGAAUCCAUAGAUUUGGAACCCAUGGAUAAGGAGGGCUGACUGUAUGUAUUUUCACUCAAGUCCCCCAACAACACUUUGAUGUAGUCUUUUGUUUGUUCAUUUACGCAUAAGAGAACUGGGACUAAGAGAGAAUAAGUUGGUAUCACCCCAACAUUCAGCUAGGAAAUGGCAAAGGGGCAGUUCCAGAUUCCCUGUGAGCUCCCUCCCUUCUGUGUAUAAGGAGCUGACAUCGUCCAUGAGCUCUUUCAGGGAGUUUUGAUUCUCAUGCCUAGUAAAUGAUCUCCCCAUACGCGGAAGAGAAGCUUUGUGUUAUUUGAGGAAAAGGAAGAGGCUUCGAAGAAGAAAGGAAGAAGGCACGGCGGGGGAAUCAGGGAAAGCUCUCAGGCUGAACUAGUUUAUGCUAUUGAAUAGUUUUUUUCUCAAGGGAUUGCUUUGAUAUCAUUGUACUGAGCAAAUAUUACCAGAUUAAAAAAAUGAUAACUUGGACCUUUUUUUGGUAAAAUAUGAAGCAGUUGGCAGCUCCAACCAUAGCUCUUGCUAUGCUUGUGUGGCCAUGCAUGCUAGUUGCCAAACAUUUUCAGAAGUGGACUGGAAGGAGAACAGCCUUAAUCUUUGGCCUUUUUAAAAAAAUGAAACAAAACACUCUUCUCCUCCCUUCCCCAAAAACAAAGUGAUUAAACCAUUCAGCUUAAAAAAGAUUCAGUUUAGUCACUUUGGUUUACAUGCUGUUGGUCAAGAGCUAGGCUGUCAGCAUCAUCCUGUGACAACUGAGAGUUCCUAACUUUCUGGUCAUCAGGUUUUUCCUCUUAUCAAUGCAUUUCUUUUCCUUCAUGAUACCUCAUCUUGCCACACCAAGGCGUGAAGUUAUAAGCCAGAGUUAUGACCCCUAUCAGUAGAAGGUUCUAGAAUAUUUGUAUGUAUUUUAAAGCUCCUCAGAUAAUUCGGAUACAGGUAGCCUUGCGCCAGAAUCAUGUAUGGGACACCCUUGUUUUUCCUCAAUGAGAAAAUUGAGGCCCAGAGUGAUAAGAAACUUGUCAAGGGCCUAAUCUAGACUUUGGAUGCUGAAAAUAACCCAGAUAGAAGCCGGAGGAAGCACAUCGGUUCAGCACAGGCUGGCCUUCCAGGGCACAGAGCAGCAUGAGAAGGGAGGGGGUGUGUCUGCCAGGGAUGCAUGGCGAAUACUCAGCCCAAGCUCUUCCAUUUCUGCUCACUAUCAUCCAUUGUCCACAGCCUUUCAAAAACGGGAUUUCACCAUGUUGGUCAGGCCAGUCUUGAACUCAUAACCUCGGGUGAUCCGUCCGCCUUGGUCUCCAAAGCGCUUGGAUUACAGGCGUGAGCCACUGUGUCCAGCCUGUCCACAGCCUUUCAGAUCUGUCAUUCUAAAUCCAAUCACAUGAAUUAUUAUUUUUUUUCCAGAUGGAAUCUUGUUCUGUCACCCAGGCUGCAGUGCAGUGGCAUGAUCUUGGUUCACUGCAACCUCCCUCUCUCAGGUUUAAGUGAUUCUCGUUCCUCAACCUCCCGAGUAGCUAGAAUUGCAGGCAUGUGCCGCCAACACACACAGAAAAUUUUUGCAUUUUUAGUAGAGACAGGGUUUUAUCAUAUUGGACAGGCUGUUCUUGAACUCUUGACCUCAAGUGAUCUGCCUGCCUCAACCUCCCAAAGUGCUGAGAUAACCUCUCACGUGCUGUGAACCACUGCACUUGGCCUCACAUGGAAUUCUUUACGGUAUCUAUUGUUCUCAAGAUCAGUUCUAUGUUUCUAGCAUUAUAUACAGGUUGAGCAUACCUUAUCCAAACUGCUUGGGUUCAGAAGUGUUUGAGGUUUCAUAUACUUUUUUCAGAUUUUGGAAUAUUUGCUAUAUACUUACUGGUUGAACCUCCCUAAUUCAAAAUCUGAAAUCCAAAAUGCUCCAGUGAGUAUUUUCUUUGAGCAUCAUGUGGAUGCUCAGAAAAUUUCAAAUUCUAGAGCAUUUCAUAUUUUCAGAUUAGAGAUGCUCAACCUGUAUGAGUCCCUUCCAGACCUGGCUCCCUGCCUGUUUUACUCCCUUCAUUUUACCCCCACAGCCCCCCACCCCAGAGCCAAACUAAACCACUUGCCCCUGCUUGAACACACACAGCCUUCACACCUCCAUGCCUUGCACAGCCGUCCCUCCUUCGUGAGCUCAUGCUUCAGGUGCUCCUGUAGUACCUCGGUCUCUCCUUCAGAGUCUGUGUCACCCAGUAAUGAUUUGUUCAGUGUUUAUCUAGAGGCUGCCCAUGAGUAAAGACCCUGUCUUGUCUGAACCUGGAUAAGAGCAGUUUUGAUUGGGGACCGUGAUGAGGGGAGAAAGACCAAAACCUGAUUGAGUGGGUUUAGGAGAAAAUGGAAAGAGAACUGCAACCAGCGAUUAGAAAUAAUAGUAAGUUUCAC